rnacentral:tRNA from 1 species
GCCUCCGUAGCUCAGGGGAGCAGAGCGCACGGUUCCGAACCGUGAGGCCGCAGGUUCAAUUCCUGCCGGGGGCA